UCGUAACAAGGUUUCCGUAGGUGAACCUGCGGAAGGAUCAUCA
rnacentral:rRNA from 1 species